rnacentral:tRNA from 1 species
GGUCCGGUAGUUCAGUUGGUUAGAAUGCCUGCCUGUCACGCAGGAGGUCGCGGGUUCAAGUCCCGUCCGGACCG